UACGUAGGGUGCAAGCGUUUAAUCGGAAUUACUGGGCGUAAAGCGUGCGCAGGCGGUUUUGUAAGUCUGUCGUGAAAUCCCCGGGCUCAACCUGGGAAUGGCGAUGGAGACUGCAAGGCUAGAGUUUGGCAGAGGGGGGUAGAAUUCCACGGUGUAGCAGUGAAAUGCGUAGAUAUGUGGAGGAACACCGAUGGCGAAGGCAGCCCCCUGGGUCAAAACUGACGCUCAUGCACGAAAGCGUGGGGAGCAAACAGG
rnacentral:rRNA from 1 species